ACACAGCUAAUGCAUUAUUCACUGCGUGCGCAGUUAUAUGAAUUAAUAUGAUGCUGAUUUUAGGAUUUUACUCCAUUAGUCACCCAAGUCGGCCAUCAUAGGAUUAGGCUGAAUAACACAUCUCUGGAACAUUCCCUUUCAUUUGUUGCUUUUGUUUUUUUUUGUUUAUUUUUUGUUUAAGUUCUUCGAUCACCAUGAACUAAUGCCAACGCAUGCGCAUUACCACCAUGCGACAGUUCUGUGAUCAAACAACAGGCGGCACCACUAGAGCGGAAGUUCCCUGAUAUUUGAUAUGGUACAUGAAGUUUCUGCCGGAGUAUAUCUACAAACGACCCGGCUUUCCGUAACCCACUACCUGUUUAUCGCCGCAGCAGUUUGUUUAUUCAUCUUGAUAAUAUGUUUGUGCUACAAGGCAUGCUGCAGAAAUCACGGGAAAGAUGACCCGGAUUGGGACGAGGAGGAGGAAGUACCAUCAAGACGCAUUAUUGUGAUCCCACAGCGGACGUCUAGCAUACCAAGCAUGGUCCCAGUCCACACCACACAAAGUACUGGAGAUUACGAACCUCUCGAGGAGUACGGCUAUCCCGCCGGACCAGGCCCAUCAACGGCGGGAGUGCCCGCGUAUAUAUCAACAGCAGUUCAACCAUCAGCGCCACCUUUCGUUCCCCGGCCCCCAAGUUAUGAAGAAAGUGUACGACCAUCGCCUUCUGGUAAUCAACCCGCACCGACUGAUAGCCCCCCUCCUUAUACACCACCGUGAAUUAAUUUUUUUUCAUUGACCUUACGUCAUUCACAGCGAGGAGAAAUUUAACUCUGUCCUCGUCAGUCCCGCUUCUCUCAAAAACAUAUCUAUAUCUGAACUUCUGAGGAUUAACCACUUCAUGAUAUUCUUAUGGGAAAGAUCAUUUCAACGGAAUAACUGUCUUUUAACAACAUCUGAGUGCUCAUAGCGCAUACGAGGAAACGGAAUAUAGCAAAUAUCUGGAGUGAUCAAAUACGAAAAGGUCCGGAAGAUACAAUAUAUGUUGUCUUCAUGGAAUAAUAUACUCAGUAUGAGUCACAGUGUUUAAGUUAGCUGGGAUUGCCAGCAGCAGAACAAUUUUACAGGAGCCUGGCCAGAGCAUCAUCUAUCUGUGAAUAUCAUUCAACUCUCCGAGUCGGGGCGUGUGAGCCAUUUGACGGACAGUUUGGCCAGGUUUGUGAAAAAAUGACUUUUCCAUCACGUGACUGGCAUGAAAAAACACAGCUGUGAUCAGAAUAUACUGUACCCUUCGAUAAGCAAUUCCUUAAGAGUACAUGUACUAAUAAUCAAGUAAGAGGGAUGGGUUCUUCUUCUAGCAGGUAUGCUACUGUACGUUUUUACAGUGAUGAAGAAAAGUGUAUAAGUGCAAUGUACCGCUCUGCGGGUCAGUGGUUUGUUGGGGUGCCAAUUUAUGUACCGAUAUGCGGACAAGGGGUGAGAAAUGGUCUCAAAAUAUUUGGCUAUCAAAAAGCAGUAGAAAUAUAAUGAUAACGUCAUACAGGGUAGGAAUUCCGCUCAUAUGUAGUGGCACUGAAGGAGCGGAUUGAAGCCAAUGGUACAGAAAUGUGAACAGAAAUCUUCAGACUAGAUCCUUUACCAGAUACAACUGUACCACAUAGUGUCGGGAAACAAAACCAUCUUGACAAUAGGUCUUAACGGUAAAAACACCAGCCAAUGAGCUUGCGAGGCAUUGGGUGAUAUGAAUAAAGACUAGUGAAUGCUUUUACUUCAAUUUUGUACAGAAAGGCCUAGUGUAAAUGUACGUGGAGUUUUAGAAAAAAGCAUUUGCUCGUCUUUAUUCAUAUCACCCAAUGUCUGUCGUCUUUGACCGUGAAGAUCUAUUGUAAAGAUGUUUGUUGGUGGUACAGGUGUUAGGCGCUGUCGACCGAUUUGCGCUAUCGAUCGAUCGUGCAGCGCCAUCUAUGGAUCUGUCGUUUGCGCAAGCAUCGGUCGAUGGCUCAGCGCGAUCUAUCGAUGGGUUGUAUAAUGGAUACUGGGAUUGGACAGGAGUACGUGAUGAGGGCCGUGCGUGGGUCUGCAUGCGGGAUGUGCUGCAUGCGGCAUAUUUGGGAAGGGACCAAUUCCAGUAUAUAUUAGCUUAUAUCAUCCUUAAUAAAGUUUUGUGUAUAUAUAUAUAUUAUCAGGAGCGAGUAAACAAGUAGAUAUUAAUCAUAA